rnacentral:rRNA from 1 species
UGAGGAAUAUUGGUCAAUGGGAGGAAUCCUGAACCAGCCAUGCCGCGUGCAGGACGACGGCUCUACGAGUUGUAAACUGCUUUUGUACCGGGGUAAAAUGCUCUACGAGUAGGGUUUUGAAAGUACGGUACGAAUAAGGAUCGGCUAACUCCGUGCCAGCAGCCGCGGUAAUACGGAGGAUCCGAGCGUUAUCCGGAUUCAUUGGGUUUAAAGGGUGCGUAGGUUGUUUUAUAAGUUAGCGGUGAAAUACCGAUGCUCAACAUCGGGGCUGCCGCUAAUACUGUAGGACUAGAGAUCGGAUGCAGCAGGCGGAAUGUGUAGUGUAGCGGUGAAAUGCAUAGAUAUUACACAGAACACCGAUUGCGAAGGCAGCUUGCUAGGCCGGAUCUGACACUGAUGCACGAAAGCGUGGGGAUCGAACAGGAUUAGAUACCC